rfam:TPA: Bos taurus chromosome 24, whole genome shotgun sequence.
UCCCUGGUGGUCCAGUGGCUCAGACUCUGCACUCCCAAUGCAGGAGGCUUGGGUUCGAUCCCUGGUCAGGUAA